rnacentral:rRNA from 1 species
GACGAACGCUGGCGGCGUGCUUAACACAUGCAAGUCGAACGGAAAGGCCCUGCUUUUGUGGGGUGCUCGAGUGGCGAACGGGUGAGUAACACGUGAGUAACCUGCCCUUGACUUUGGGAUAACUUCAGGAAACUGGGGCUAAUACCGUAUAGGAGCUCCUGCUGCAUGGCGGGGGUUGGAAAGUUUCGGCGGUUGGGGAUGGACUCGCGGCUUAUCAGCUUGUUGGUGGGGUAGUGGCUUACCAAGGCUUUGACGGGUAGCCGGCCUGAGAGGGUGACCGGCCACAUUGGGACUGAGAUACGGCCCAGACUCCUACGGGAGGCAGCAGUGGGGAAUAUUGCACAAUGGGCGGAAGCCUGAUGCAGCAACGCCGCGUGCGGGAUGACGGCCUUCGGGUUGUAAACCGCUUUCGCCUGUGACGAAGCGUGAGUGACGGUAAUGGGUAAAGAAGCACCGGCUAACUACGUG